UCAAGUAAUUAAGUGCAUGUGGUGGAUGCCUUGGCAGUCAGAGGCGAUGAAAGACGUAAUAGCCUGCGAAAAGCUCCGGGGAGGCGGCAAAUAUCCUGUGAUCCGGAGAUUUCUGAAUGGGGAAACCCACUUACCAUAAGGUAGGUAUUGCAUGAUGAAUACAUAGUCAUGCAAAGCGAACGGGGGGAAGUGAAACAUCUCAGUACCCCUAGGAAAAGAAAUCAAUUGAGAUUCCCUUAGUAGCGGCGAGCGAACGGGGACCAGCCCAUUAAGUUAUCUAAGUUCUAGUGGAAUGCUCUGGGAAGUGCAACCAUAGUGGGUGAUAGUCCUGUACACGAAAGGGCUUAGAUAAUGAUGUCGAGUAGGGCGGGGCACGUGAAACCUUGUCUGAAUAUGGGGGGACCAUC
rnacentral:rRNA from 17 species